rnacentral:rRNA from 1 species
AGCGAACGCUGGCGGCAGGCCUAACACAUGCAAGUCGAACGAACCCUUCGGGGUUAGUGGCGGACGGGUGAGUAACACGUGGGAACGUGCCUUUAGGUUCGGAAUAACUCAGGGAAACUUGUGCUAAUACCGAAUGUGCCCUUCGGGGGAAAGAUUUAUCGCCUUUAGAGCGGCCCGCGUCUGAUUAGCUAGUUGGUGAGGUAAUGGCUCACCAAGGCUACGAUCAGUAGCUGGUCUGAGAGGAUGACCAGCCACAUUGGGACUGAGACACGGCCCAAGCUCCUACGGGAGGCAGCAGUGGGGAAUCUUGCGCAAUGGGCGAAAGCCUGACGCAGCCAUGCCGCGUGGAUGAUGAAGGUCUUAGGAUUGUAAAAUUCUUUCACCGGGGACGAUAAUGACGGUACCCGGAGAAGAAGCCCCGGCUAACUUCGUGCCAGCAGCCGCAGUAAUAC